GUCUCUGAUAGCUCAGUUGGUUAGAGCACUGUACCGGAAACGCAGCGCCGCAGGUUCGAUUCCUGCCACAGGGCUG